AUGGGUGUGUACAACAGUCAGAGCUCAUUAGUGAGUCACAUGGGUGUGUACAACAGUCAGAGCUCAUUAGUGAGUCACAUGGGUGUGUACAACAGCCAGAGCUCAUUAGUGAGUCACAUGGGUGUGUACAACAGUCAGAGCUCAUUAGUGAGUCACAUGGGUGUGUACAACAGCCAGAGCUCAUUAGUGAGUCACAUGGGUGUGUACAAGUCAGAGCUCAUUAGUGAGUCACAUGGGUGUGUACAACAGUCAGAACUCAGUGAGUCACACGAGUGUGUACAACAGUCAGAACUCAUUAGUGAGUCACAUGGGUGUGUACAACAGUCAGAACUCAGUGAGUCACACGAGUGUGUACAACAGCCAGAGCUCAUUAGUGAGUCACAGGGGUGUGUACAACAGUCAGAACUCAGUGAGUUACAUGGGUGUGUACAACAGUCAGAACUCAGUGAGUCACACGAGUGUGUACAACAGUCAGAGCUCAUUAGUGAGUCACAUGGGUGUGUACAACAGUCAGAGCUCAUUAGUGAGUCACAUGGGUGUGUACAACAGUCAGAACUCAGUGAGUCACAUGAGUGUGUACAACAGUCAGAGCUCAUUAGUGAGUCACAUGGGUGUGUACAACAGUCAGAACUCAGUGAGUCACAUGGGUGUGUACAACAGUCAGAACUCAGUGAGUCACAGGGGUGUGUACAACAGUCAGAACUCAUUAGUGAGUCACAGGGGUGUGUACAACAGUCAGAGCUCAUUAGUGAGUCACACGAGUGUGUACAACAGUCAGAACUCAUUAGUGAGUCACAGGGGUGUGUACAACAGUCAGAGCUCAUUAGUGAGUCACACGAGUGUGUACAACAGUCAGAGCUCAUUAGUGAGUCACAGGGGUGUGUACAACAGUCAGAACUCAGUGAGUCACACGAGUGUGUACAACAGUCAGAGCUCAUUAGUGAGUCACAUUGGUGUGUACAACAGUCAGAACUCAGUGAGUCACAUGGGUGUGUACAACAGUCAGAACUCAGUGAGUCACACGAGUGUGUACAACAGUCAGAACUCAUUAGUGAGUCACAUGGGUGUGUACAACAGUCAGAACUCAGUGAGUCACACGAGUGUGUACAACAGCCAGAGCUCAUUAGUGAGUCACAGGGGUGUGUACAACAGUCAGCUGAUUAG
rnacentral:lncRNA from 1 species